rnacentral:rRNA from 1 species
AUUCNGAGGCGAGUAUGGUGGANAGCGGGNNNNNNACGNGUGACCAACCUGCCCUUGAGAGGAGAAUAACUACGGGAAACUGUAGCUAAUACUCCAUAAUAUCUGGACCUCCCCUGAGGACCAGAUCAAAGCCUUGUGCACUCAAGGAUGGGGUCGCGUCGGAUUAGCUCGUUGGUGAGGUAACGGAUCACCAAAGCAACAAUCCGUAGCUGGACUGAGAGGAUGAUCAACCACACUGGCACUGAGACACGGGCCANACUCCUACGGGAGGCAACAGUGGGGAAUCUUAGGCAAUGGGGGAAACCCUGACCUAGCCAUGCCGCGUGGAGGAAGACACCCCUAUGGGGCGUAAACUCCUUUUCUACCGGAAGAAAACCUCUUUUUGCGAGGCGUGACGGUACGGUAGGAAUAAGCACCGGCUAACUCCGUGCCAGCAGCCGCGGUAAUACGGAAGGUGCAAUCGUUGGCCGGAAUCUCUGGGCGUAAAGGGUGUGUAAGUGGGAUAGCAAGUCNGAGGUGAAAGCCUGCGGCUUAACCGUAGAAAUGCCUUUGAAACUGCUAUUCUUGANUCCUGGAGAAGNUGCUGGAAAUCAUGGUGUAGCGGUGAAAUGCAUAGAUAUCACNAAGAACACCNGAGGCAUAAGCGAGAACUGGACGGGGACUGACACUGANUCACAAGAGCGUGGAAGCAACAAGAUAGAUACCCUGGUAACCACACCGUAAACGAUGAAUGCUCGCGUACUCCACGUAAGAGUAUGGCUAAAUUAACNGUUACCACUCGCUUGAGAUACGAUCGCAAAUGAAACUCAGAGANUUGACUGGNCCAGCCAACCAAGGACAAGUGGUUAAUCGUAGCAAGCGAGAACCUACCUAGGUCGAACCUCCUACAGACAAAAGAGCCUCCUCANGAACAGAUGAGAACUAUGUGUAUA